rnacentral:lncRNA from 1 species
AGACUGGCAGGUUUUAAGGGGUCUCAUUUAUUAAUACAAUCAAUAAAAAGCAAUUCACAAAUACCUAGUUCAUGGGUUAGUUCAUCUUCCCUCUAUAGAAGACCACUAGCUUCUAUAGAGGCCAGUUUGACUAGAGAGGUAUAGGGUUCGAUGAUAUCCUAUUUUGGAAAAUAGUACUACUCUUUUCUUUCUACAUCAUUGUAUAUUAGUUGCCUGCAAUGAUAGCUUAAUUAUGACAUUUUCAUGCAUGUUGUACAAUGUGUAUCUAUCAUAUUCAUGCUCCUUCACUCUUCCUUGUCUAUCUUACCCAUUUUACAAAUGUCCCUUGAAUAGUCUUUUACUUUUGUGUCUUCCAAAGACAAAAUUAGUUCCACCUAAGAAGAAACAUAGGGUAUCUAUUUGUCUUUCUGAACCUGACUUUAAAUUUGUUUAACAUGAUCAUCUUCAGUUCUAUCCAUUUUCCUGAAAUAAUAUAAUUCUCCUUUAUGGCUGAAUAAUACUCCAUUGUAUCUAUGUACAUCAUGUGAUCAUUUAUUUAUGCAUCGUCCCUUACAAGGUAUCGAAGCUUAUUUUCUCCAGCUUCAUGCUCAAUCUCUUUACUUUGCAACAGAGUCCUGGCAUCUUAGUAAGUUAGGAGAGGACUGGUGCCAUAAAGCCAAAGACGGGCAAAGGUACCUAAAUGAAUGUUACAUGGCCACAUCCCGCUCUCCAUGUCUCUCCUCUUCCCCAACAACCUUUCUUUUCCUUUUUAUUUCUGUUGCUGGAGAGCCUGGAGCCCUUGACUUCAGCCAAGCACACACAUUCCUUUGAAGGGAGUGGCUCUCGCCACACAGACUUGCAGGUUGAAUGGUUGUUGACACUGUUACCUUGGGCACCUACCCGGGAGCACCUGCCAGUGUGACUGUGUCAGACACAGACGUGGAAUUGCCUGCUCUCCCAUAACUCUUCAGAGCACUCCUUAUGCUGGAGCAUGUUCCCGAUUUACUUUGUAACUCAAAGGCACUUAACUAAGUUAUUGCCUCUGAGAUUCUACGAUCCCCUUGGUUGUAGAAUAUCCACUACCUCUAUUAGGUUCAUUGUGCGACUUAGUUGAGGAAGAACCAGGGUAUCUUAAGCUUUUUAGAGUGUGAGAGUUAACCUUAGCAUUUACUCUGCCCUUGAUGGGUAUAACGAAGGGCUGUGAGGACCCAGGUUUGCUGGCUCCUGUGAUGA